UACGUAGGGUGCGAGCGUUGUCCGGAAUUACUGGGCGUAAAGAGCUCGUAGGCGGUCUGUCGCGUCGGUCGUGAAAACUUGGGGCUUAACCCUGAGCUUGCGGUCGAUACGGGCAUGACUGGAGUUCGGCAGGGGAGACUGGAAUUCCUGGUGUAGUGGUGAAAUGCGCAGAUAUCAGGAGGAACACCGGUGGCGAAGGCGGGUCUCUGGGCCGAUACUGACGCUGAGGCGCGAAAGCUAGGGGAGCAAACGGG
rnacentral:rRNA from 1 species